CAAAAGCGUAUAUUAAAGUUGUUGCAGUUAAAAAGCUCGUAGUUGAACCUUGGGCUUGGCUGGCCGGUCCAUCUUUUUUGAUGCGUACUGGACCCAGCCGAGCCUUUCCUUCUGGCUAGCCUUUUUGGCGAACCAGGACUUUUACUUUGAAAAAAUUAGAGUGUUCAAAGCAGGCCUUUGCUCGAAUAUAUUAGCAUGGAAUAAUAGAAUAGGACGUUAUGGUUCUAUUUUGUUGGUUUCUAGGACCAUCGUAAUGAUUAAUAGGGACGGUCGGGGGUAUCAGUAUUCAGUAGUCAGAGGUGAAAUUCUUGGAUUUACUGAAGACUAACUACUGCGAAAGCAUUUACCAAGGACGUUUUCAUUAA
rnacentral:rRNA from 1 species